CCGAAUGUCAUGGUUGAUGAAUCAUGAGUUUUUUGCUAGUCUGGUUGCCUUGUGUUAUAAAUACGCUGUGCACGUGUUCCUAUUAUCUUGAUACCUGAUGGUGAAAUGCUUUCACAUUUAUUGAAACUUCGAAUAAAUGGCUUCAGGCUGCUUCUCUAAAUGGAUGAAGAGUGCUUGCAACUUGCCAUUCUACAUGAAAUUCCUGGCCGAGUAUUGCCUACGCAGCCCAUUUAUGAAAAAAACGCUAGUGUUCCUGCAAUGUCUAUCAGACGAAAUUAUGUGGAUUUCCUGCCAAGGACACCCAGUAUCAACUUGAGUCUGAAGAUAUGGAUGGUUAUCCUUGUUUACAAUCUUCGAAUUUUGCCUCUAGAUUCUUCAAUGUUCUGAAACCCAGAUUGCUUGCUGGAUAGUAGUGCCGGAUAUUGAAGUAACUUCUAUGACUUUGUAAAUGGCACAGUAUUUUGCUUAAUUGUAGUGCCUUAAUGUAGAUUAACCUAUAUAUAUGCAAUUUCAAGUUCUUGGUAAACCGACUCCUAUCUAUGAAAGUGCCUCAUGUUGUAUUAAAUUUAAAUUUAAAUUAGCUUUAACUUAACUGAUAGUAAAUAAUUCUAUAUCAAAUAAGGGAACUUCAAGGUGAAACGAUUUCAAAAUUCUUGAGAUUUUAAUUUUAAUUGAUAAAUUAAUCAGAAUUUUAACACUUUAUUUUGAAUUUGAUUGAAGGAAACGGACAAUAAGACACUUCUAUGCGAGUGAUGGCAAAUACUGACAUCAACCCUCCUUCCCUGUUUUCCGACUCUAUUAAAAUAUGUAUUGCAACCUGUAAAUAAGUCAAUCUCGUACGAGCUAUACAUCACGCCUCCAAGUGUAACAUUACGAUUACUUGUAUACUUGACAUGCAAUUCAGCGGUCAGAGUAGCGGACAUUCCGACAGUAUUAAAUAUUAAAGCGAGUCAAGAUUUAAGACUCGCUCGAUAUGUUGUCAACUUGACUUUAAUUCGUUCGGUUUGGUACAACACUGAAAUUUUGUAUAUAAAAUCAUCUGAUAGACUUGUUCCUGUCUCUACAUAGAAAGCUCUUUAAAUGAUUUAAAUCAACAUCAGAAUUUUUCCCAUUCUUCCUUUACCGAGCCGCUCUCAAAUAUUCAGUAUAUCUAGAAAUUUCGAUCGGUUUUAAAUCAAUCGAAUCAAACCUUGAUCUGUCCUAGGUUUAAAAUUUAUUAAAUAUUUACCUGAUGAAUGUUUCCAGCAGCUUUUGCCAAUAAGAUGAAAGGUUUAACUAAAUAAGGCUUGUAAUGUUUCAUGUAAUCAGUCUUUUAUAAAGUCUAAUCUUUACUGCUAAUAAGAAUUCCUCAAACCAUUAAAAAUGGAAAGCACCCUUAAAACGAGUUUGCGUACAAAAGUCAGUACAAACGUAUUCUUAAAUCGAAAAGUCUUCAAAUUUAUUAAUUUUUAAUAUUUUUUCUGGCAGGAAUACCAGCCCAUAGUGUAUCAUAGUUUAGCUCGGCUGUCUAAUAAAGACUAAAAUGAACCAAAUGAGUAUCCUUAAUUCCUCAAAUAAACUAUAAUAAAGCACACUUAAAAUGUAAUAUUUGAUCGGGAACAUUAAAAUCAAUCGAAUUUGGUUAGAAUAUAAAUGACUGGUCGAUUCCAAUAUCAAAAGUAGAAAUUGCAUUUAGCUGGUUUAUUGCAGAUGGGUGAAAUCAGAUGGGGUUUGGAGACGGAGGUUAACACGUUAAAUGCUGGUCCCUGUUUACUUUCCGUCUAGGCUGUUUGGGACCGACGGUCUAAGCGGAAAGUAUCGGUCCCCAGGGAACCGGUCAUUAACGUGUUAAUGACGAAUUGGGUUAGUAGGCAAUUUUUAAAAGCAAAUUCUAGCGAUCACUUUGAAUUGGGAAGUGGGCAUUUAAUUUAUCUCAACACUAAAAUUUCAAAUGUCCAGUUGUGUUUAUAGAGGAUUUGAACCAGCAAAAUGCAAUUCCUACUUGAAAUAUUGGUAGCGAUCACAAAUUGAAUCGGAGAUUCGAGUUGCUAAUAGAUUUCAAGUCUUGAAGGUUCUAAGCAUUUGUGAAUAGUAACAUUAUUUGAAGGGAACGUUAAUGGCUGACUUCGUUAUUCGUGAAUGUUUUUCUGUACUAGUGAACAAUUAAAUUAUUUAAAUGAAUGACUUUCACGAUUACCUUUCAUAAAAAUUACAAUACUUAUUGACGUAUCGUUUCGCCGCCUUUUGGCACUAAUCGAAUUUAUAUUUCGGAUGAUGAAUCAUUCAACAAAUAUUUGACGAUAUAUUCAUUUACAAAAAUUGUUCGUCGGUUGCCUUUCAAAAGUUAUAUAAUGAUGGUUUGAGGAAAUUUAAAAAUAAAAUGUUAAAAUCUGUCUCUAAAUCUUCCAAAUCUAUCUUCCCUGGAGCCUCCUGUAGAUAAACGACGCAUUCUUAGCAGUACUCUUAAAUGGGCCUCUCUCCUUAAUCUUCAAUUUAAUUUGGAUUCCAGCAUUACAAAAUUUUCAACUGUCGCAUCAAUAUUUAUGAUCUAGUUUCAGUUACUUCAGAUAAUUCCUUUAAACUGAAUAAAGUAUUAUAUGAAAUAGCGAUGGUAAGCAGGAUUGCCUUAAUUUGCUACCACUCUUCUAACUUUUAUUGUGUCCGGCUUCUAAUCAAAGUAUAUUAUCGCUGCAUAUUGUAUAAAAUGUUUUGCUAGAACGAUUAACGUAAUCAUUGUUGGAUGAAGAUAUCCCUUGGAAUGAAACAAAAUUGCUUAAAUAGAAACAAUUUCUUAAAAUAACCCAUUCCGUACCCUACUCGGUUGUAACAGAUCCAUUUAAAGCCAAAAUCGCUUUUUUAAAAUUGUCCGUUUCAUUCGAAUCUAAAAUUUUGUUUGCUUUCAUUUAAUUUGUUUCAAUAAUAUUAACUGCUG